rnacentral:misc_RNA from 1 species
AACAAGGCGUACCUGCGGACCUGCGGAGGGAUCAUUACUGAGUCACGUGCUCAAACAACCCUUCUGUGGACCUGAAAUAAAACCGUUGCCUCGGCGGGCGGUCCCCCCCAAACCAACCCCACGUGGUGGGUUAGGGGGGACCAGACAGUCCGGUACGCUUAAGGCGUCCGGCGCCAGCCGCUGGCCCCAAACAAUUAAACUCUAGUAAUCUUUACCUUCUGAGUUUCAAUAUUUAAAAAU